GAGUGAACGCUGGCGGUAGGCCUACCACAUGCAAGUCGAACGGCAGCACAGUAAGAGCUUGCUCUUACGGGUGGCGAGUGGCGGGCGGGUGAGGAAUACAUCGGAAUCUACUUUUUCGUGGGGGAUAACGUAGGGAAACUUACGCUAAUACCGCAUACGACCUACGGGUGAAAGCAGGGGAUCUUCGGACCUUGCGCGAUUGAAUGAGCCGAUGUCGGAUUAGCUAGUUGGCGGGGUAAAGGCCCACCAAGGCGACGAUCCGUAGCUGGUCUGAGAGGAUGAUCAGCCACACUGGAACUGAGACACGGUCCAGACUCCUACGGGAGGCAGCAGUGGGGAAUAUUGGACAAUGGGCGCAAGCCUGAUCCAGCCAUACCGCGUGGGUGAAGAAGGCCUUCGGGUUGUAAAGCCCUUUUGUUGGGAAAGAAAAGCAGCAGGUUAAUACCCCGCUGUUCUGACGGUACCCAAAGAAUAAGCACCGGCUAACUUCGUG
rnacentral:rRNA from 1 species